AGAAUCAACGCUGGCGGCGUGCCUAAUACAUACAAGUCGAACGCGAAAGCCCCGCAAGGGGCAAGUAGAGUGGCAAACGGGUGAGUAACGCGUGGGCGACCUACCUUCGAGUGGGGGAUAACCUUCCGAAAGGAGGGCUAAUACCGCAUGACAUCCCGUGUUUGGAUACACGGACAUCAAAGCCGGGGAUCGCAAGACCUGGCGCUUGGAGAGGGGCCCGCGUCCGAUUAGCUAGUUGGUGGGUAACGCCCACCAAGGCUUCGAUCGGUA
rnacentral:rRNA from 1 species